CCAAACCCAACCCUCCGUCAGUUUAUUCCCUCCUGUCCUGCUCCGGGAAUUCCGAGUCCUGCUCCGGCCCCAACGUCACCUUCGGCUGCUUCGCCUCCAACUUCUUCCCUCCCCCUUUGACCCUUUCCUGGGAAGGUUUGGGAUCGAAUUUGGGGUCGGGAUUCGGCUCCCGGAAUUUCCAGGAGGUUCAGGUGGGAUCCGGAUCCUACGGGAUGAGCUCCAGGGUCACCUUGGGAGAGGAGGAGGCCAAGGACGGGACGUUCGAGUGCCGGGCCCAGCACGAGGCCACCGGGAGCAGCGUCGGCGUCGGGAUACACGACAUCUGCCCCAUCCCGACCCCCCGCGUCACCCUCCUGAGCGACCCCACAACCUCUGACUCCAAGAAUUCCGACAACUCCGACGUCCUCCUCCUCUGCCUCGUCGAGGGGCGGGGCUCCGACCACGCCCACGUCACGUGGCUGGCCAAGGGGGAGGAGCUUAAGGUGGACCAGGAAGUGGCCACCUGCGAGGGCCACGCCCUCAGCAGCCGCGUCAACGUCAGCCGGAAGCUCUGGGAUUUGGGGGCCACCUUCACCUGCCGGGUGGCCCUGGACGGGCUGGAGGGGACGGUGGAGGACUCCAUCAGCACCUUCUGCUCCGGCGCUCCGACGGUGUCCGUGACCCUCCUUCCCCCCUCCUUGGAAGACCUUUAUUUAUCCCAAAACUCUUCGUUGACCUGCGUGGCCUCCAACCUCAACUCGGCGUCGGGCGUCGAGUUCUCGUGGCGCCGAAGCUCCGGAGCCGCCGCGAAUCCGGAGGCGCCGACGACGGAAAAGAUGGAAAACGGGUUGUACAGGAUGGAAUCCAGGCUGAGGGUUUGUGCCGAGGAGUGGAAUUCCGGGGAGACUUUCUACUGUGGGGUUCACGUGGAGGAUCUGGGAGCGGAGCAGCCGCCGGAGAGGAGCCUCCGCAAGGAGAUCG